rnacentral:lncRNA from 1 species
AAUGAAGAGACAAGGUCUUGCUAUGUUGCUCAGGUUGGUCUUGAAUUCCUGGCCUCAAGGGAUCCUCCUCCAUUGGCCUCCCAAAGUGCUGGGAUUUGCCCAGCCCCUAACUGUUGUUUUGUUAAGUUGCAUUUCUCAAGAUUGGGCAGAGUAGCUUCCUAGACUUGGUGAUUUAAUUUUACUUUUCUUGUCUUGUUAUUUCUCUGCAUUCAAUGUUACCUUAAUUGUAAAAUAAAAAUUACCAAGACAUUGCUGAAUAUAGUUGUUGAUUAGUGUUCCCUUGAUAGUAGUCCUGCAUUUUUACUUUCAGCUACUGCUUAAUCACAUUCAUUUGCAAAAUUGGAAAAUUUUUACUUUGGCUAAUUACCAUAGGUUUAGAACUUUCUGGUCUUCAGCUCCAGAAAUGUAUCGCUGUGUUGAGAUCAUGUUUUAUUUCAUCCAUGUUUAUUUGAAUACUGCCCCUCUGAAAAGCUGACUGUUUUUGGAGCUUUUAUACACAAGUAUGAGUGAGGAAAUUACUUUAGGUGUAGAAUAAAAUUGUGUAGAAAUAAUUAUCUUUGAAAAAAUUUGGUAUUCAGGAUAUUGAAUUGGAAGUGUUGAAGAAGCAGCUGUUUUGUGUGUAAUACGUUUCUCUUGUUUGAGAAUUUACCAGUUUUUUGCAGUUGUAGCUUUGAACUAUCCAUUCCCCCCUUAAAUUUAGAUACCCUGACAACCAAAAAUCUCUUGAAUUGUCAUGAAGUACUUUAGUAGAAGUUUUAUGGAAAAACACAACAUAGCUAUGAUCUUUGCUGGAAGCUUCAAAAAGGCAUCAUCGUGUGAUGCUUUUUAGGUAGAAAAACUCCCAGAAAUAAGAUAAGGUACCUACACUGGGCAAAGCCCAAGCCUCUUACUCAUGUUUCCUGGUAAUCCACAGCAGUGGUUUUGCUCCUUUCAUGACAUUGUUUUUGUUGUAGUGUUUGUCUUUCAUAAAAAUUCUCCAUAAAAAUAUAUAAAAAUUACCUGUCUUCCAAAUCAAACUUUUAUCAAACCUUCCAAGCUGAAAGCUGGUACAAUUUAAGAUCAUUUUACCCAGGAACAGAGUAAUAAUUUAUUUUGUGUUUACUGUUUCAUUGGACUUACUGAUUUAUUGGUGGUGACUUGAUCUUAUGUGUACUUGGUGACCUUAAAGUAAAUUACCUGGGUAGUUGUGGUCAUUUGACAAGUUUUUAUUGAGCACACAGCCAUUUGCGCUCUUGGUGUACAGUGGUAUAAAGACAGACCAGGUCCCUGUUCUUACGGAGCUUAAAAUACUAUGGAAAGGAAGAGAAAAUAAACUAACAGAAAAAUAACAAUUUCAGCUGGCGACAAGUGCUACGAAGAAUUUAGAGAAGGGUAAGGAACUACAGAGUGAUGAGAACUGGGUGGAGUGACUGCUUUAUAGACAAUGUUGAGAUAAUGCAUUUAAUUUUUUAGGAAAAAGUAAUGCUACUUCCUUUUGGAGCCGGGGAUAAUUCUUAUGUAGGUUUACCUGUGCCAUUUAGCUCAUUUGGUUGGGGGACAGACAGCUUUUAGAUUUGGAGCCCUUGUGCAUAGGCUGCUAAACUUAUAAACUUAGUUCCAUGUUGUAGACUAAACCUAGGCCAGCUAAUUUACUAGUAUUGUUAGUCAUUAGGGUGGGAGAUUAUGAAUGGAUUCACUUACAUAUUAUUUAUUCAUGUGGCAUAUAUUUGUUGUGUAUUUCAGUAGGUGCUGAAGAAAAUUCCAGGAUUAAGAAAAACUUUCUCAAGUAGCUGUAGUUUACCAAAAUAGUUAUCAGAACUAAUUUGGUUCAUUAGGACUUUGAGUAAAUAGUAGGUCUCUCGUGUCCUAAAUGACUUGAGCUAACACAUUCUGCAGUCUUUCUGGCACUUCUUUUCUCUUUUGCCUCAUCACCCAUGCUUUUUCUCUUUGUGGCAUCUUCUGUGUUACUUUUCAUAACUAGUACUCCCACUUCCCUUUUUACCUAUAGAUACAAACUUUUUCAACGGUCGCAUACAUAGAAGUGCACAAAUCGUAAGUAUAAGGAUUUGAUAAAGUUUUGCAGAAUGAGCAUAUCUUUGCCACUAGCACCCAGAUUGAUUUUUUUUUUUUUUUUGAGACAGGUAUCUGGCUCUGUUGCCCAGGCUAGAGUGUGGUGGUGUAAUCACAGCUCACUGUAGCCCCUACUUUGAGGCCCAGGUGAUACUCUCACCUCAGCCUCCUGAGUAGUUGGGACCAUAGACAUGUGCCAUCAUGCCUGGCACAUUUUUAAGGGCUUUUUUUUUUUCUUUUUGUGAGACACGGUCUCCCUAUGUUGCCUAGGCUAGUGUCUUAUUUCUGGGCUCAAGCGAUCCUCCCGCCUCAGCCUCCCAGAGAGUUGGUAUUAUAGGCAUGAGCCACUGUGCUGGCUUGCACCUAGAUUCUUAAAGAGAACAUUACUAGAACAUUACCGGAAGCCCCUUGUGCACUGUCCCCUGUGGGCCACUUCUCCCACCCCAUUCCUGUCUUUUAAUACUAGAGAUCAGUUGUGCUUGUUUUUGAAAUUUAUGUGAGUGGAGUAUACUAUGUAUACAGUACACAGUAAAUACUGUAUGUACCACUGCCUAUAUACAGUAUACUCCACAGUGAGUGAAACAAGCCAGACUCAGAAGCAUACAUACUGUAUGUACCACUUUGCUUAGUAGCCACAGUGUAUGCACCAUGGUACAUGCAUAUACUUCUGAAUCUGGCUUGUUUCACUCAUGGUUAGGUGUGCAGGAUUCAUCCAUGUUGUUGUGUGCAGUUCUUGCUUAUUUUACCAGUCUGUCUUAUCCUGAGAAUAUCUUUGACAUUCAACUCUGCAUGCAGACCCUUCCUUACACGUUCUAGAGAGAGGACCUGUCUUCACCCUGUGUUUAUUACCCACAUACUUGAACAGCUGUUUCCUCCAGGCAUCAUUAUGCAAAAGGAAUGAAACCCGGUGUGUGCAGCUUUUUUAGAGGACGUAAAAGGAGUCAGCUCUUGCCUCUCAUCAAUAGUAUUGUUUAUCAGUCAUUUCUCUUUUGAGGCAUUGGUUGAAUAAAUGGGAAAAUUCCUGCUUUCAAGGAACUUAGCAGACUUGUUGACAGAUAAGACCAUAAGAAGAAAGCCAGUGAAGUACCCAGUGAUGUGAACGCCAUGGUAUGAGCAAGUACAUAAUAGAGACCACAAGUGCUUUUUAGAAGUUAGAGAUAGUCAUUCUCUGGGGCUUCCUCAGGAAAAUCCUCGCUGAAUCUGGGAUCUAAACUGGGCCUUAUGAUUCUUGGAUAUAAGGUUUGUUGUAUAGGUUGAUACAAGUUACUUAUUAAUAGUUGUUUGCCCCCCUCCCUUUCACUAUCUUUAGGUGAUGAUGUCCACACCUUUCCACAUCUCCUCAGGAGCUGGUGAUUCCCAGAUACUAUUUGUUAACCUGCAUCACCACUCCCAUGCACACGAACACAGGACAAACAAAUCCAGCUGCUUCCUGGCAUCUCUACUUGAACAACUUAAAGGCAAUUCAGAUCCCACAGGGUGAAAAGCUGAAUUCAUCUAUCAGAGUGUUUUCUAAAAUCCCAAGUAGAUUAUGUCCCAUUCCUGCUUAAAAUGAUCUCCUGAUUCUCAUUGCCUUUUGGAUAAAAUCCAAUCCUGAGUAUCAACAAGGGGCUUGUGAUUUGGUCCUUUUCUGUGUCAUUCUUUAGAAUUUCUGGAAGCAGCCUAUCAUCGCUCCGUCUGCCCUCCAUACACAGCGUUUGUGUGUGUUAUGCCAAACUGCUUGGUGUUUUCCAACCGUGGACCAUGAUAUCUCACUUCCUUAACCUUACCUUCAUAUGCUUUUCCUUUGUGUCUUCUUCUGAAAUGCUUCUUCCUUUUGUCCAGGCUGACUCCUGUUUGUCUGAGACUUGUGUCUCAGGAAGCCUUUCCGUUCCCCUCCAGUCAUUCAUACCUCUGUCAUAACACAUAGACUGUAUUUUUAAUUUGAUUUCCAAUCUGUCUCUUUUAGGUUGUCACCUUUUUUGAGGGCAAGACCUUUUUGUUUCAUGGCUUUAGUUUGCUGUGUUUGUUACAGUGCCUGGCAUUUGGUAGGGGUUGAGUAAAUGUAUACAGAAUAAAUGAAGCCUGGGAGAAGGAGUUCCAGUUAAGAGUUCUAAUAAAUAACUGUUUUUUCAAAAUCUUGGGGCUUUCAUCUUGUGUGUUGAAUGUUACUGGAUUAGGGGAAAGUUGUCUUUAUGAAGUGGGCCCUUUAAACUAGUAUUCCUGUUUUUCUGUUAUAGUUCCCUACUCCCCGCCCCACACCCCCUCUAAAAAAAAAGUACUAGAAGUUACACACAGAACUGUAGCCUUGGAGGCUGUAGGCAGUGCAUUUAAAGUACUUCUGGAGUGGUUUUGAGCUUCAGAGCAUUGACACACUUCCCUAAAUAACUGUGACAAUUCUUUCUAUUUGCUGUUGCCCAUCGGUGAUUUCAGUGGCCAGUAGUCAUACUGGAAAGUCUGAUAAUAAAGCAGGGGAUCAGUCAUGUGGUACCAAACCAGUUGUGGGGAAUGUUAGAUGUGUUAAGAUGUGAUUAGCAACGACAUUCCUGUUUGUAAACUGGCAUCUAUGGCGGUUUAAAAAUGGUGGCAAAACCAUUUUGAGUAUUGUUGGAAAUGUUAUCUGUUCUGCCGUGUUAAUAUACCUAUAAGUUGGUAGUUGCAUCUUGUACCCUUGAUAGUCAUACUUUGUACAUUGUGUAUGCCACUCUUCUGUUGAGUAAUUUGGAUUAAUUACUUUGGAGAUUGAAGUCUUGACUCAUUCACUUCACUCAUUUAUUUAGCUGUAUUUUCAGUUCCAUGCAAUGAGUGACACAGACUGUGCUGCCAAAAAGGAAUUCUCAGUAAGGGCAAUGCACAUAAAUUACUGUGUUACUCAGAAAUCAUGAAUAGUUGAGAUCACAAGCGGAGAGAUGGAACCAGGUCUUAUAAUCAGUAAACCAAUAUUCCAGUAAAAAGCCUGCAAAGAAUGCAAAUAAGUAAUAAAAUAACUACAAAUUAAGUCAGUAAAUAUGAGAAAUGUAUAGCCUACCCAUUACUCAAAGGAAUACAAAUGUAUGUGUGGAUGAGUCAGUAUCACUUUUAUAGUUGGAAGAAAGCAGUUUUCCUAAUAGGAAAUUUUUAGAAUUAAUCUGGUUUGGAAUAUUUAAGUGACAAUGUGUUUUUACAUUAAGGGAUUAAAAUUUUUAUCAGGCACACUACUAACUUAGUAUUAAAACAGCUGUUAAGAUUGGAAAGUAUCUGAAUGUAUUCUUUAAAAUAUAUUGUAUUUGUAAAUUUAAAAUUGUUUCGUACUCUUCAUAUAUAAGACAUUUUGUGUGAUGUUCUAAAUCAGUGCUAUCCAAAAGAAAUAUAUUGUAAGCCACAUGUAAUUUUAACUUUCUAGUAGUCACAGGAAGAAAGUAAAUUAAGCAGGUGAAAUUAAUUUUAAGAAUAUGUUUUAUCGAACCAAUUAUAUCCAGAAUGUUUUUUUUAACAUGUAACCAGUAUUACAGUGAGAUAGUUUACAUUCUUUUUUUCAAAGACAGUCUUCAAAAUCUAGUGUACAUUUUAGGGUUACAGCAAAGUUUAGUUCAGACUAACCACAUUUCAAGUGCUCAGUAGCCACCUUUGGCUAGUGGGUACCAUAUUGAAGAAGAGGAUGAGUAGUUGGGAGUGAGGGCUUUGAUGUCAGACCCAAGUUUGAGUAACAGCAGCUCUGCCAUUUGCUCACCUUGUGACCUUGGGUAUGUUACAUGAACUUGUGCUUUUGUUUUUCAUUUAUAAGGUACAACAGUUGAUUGCUAAAUAGGAUUCUUCUGAAGCACUGUCUGUUUUAAAACGGUGAUCCCUCUUAGUAGAGCUCCCAUAGAAUGCCUUCCGAAGUUCUCUUCUGCUCUGUACUCUCUGGCUGAAAGUUUCAGAAACAGAGCGACUAGAGUGGUCUAGAGUCAGAAUACAGUGUAAGGAAGCAAAGGGGAU